rnacentral:rRNA from 1 species
CCCUUAGACGUUCUGGGCCGCACGCGCGCUACACUGACGAAGGCAACGAGCUUUCCUUUACCGAAAGGUACGGGUAAUCUUUUGAAACUUCGUCGUGCUGGGGAUAGAUCCUUGCAAUUUUUGAUCUUAAACGAGGAAUGCCUAGUAAGCGCAAGUCAUCAACUUGCGUUGAUUACGUCCCUGCCCUUUGUACACACCGCCCGUCGCUACUACCGAUUGAAUGGUUUAGUGAGGCCUUCGGAUCCGCGACUCGUUUGUGGAGAAGUUGGACAAACUCAGUCAUUUAGAGGAGGUAAAAGUCGUAACA